ensembl:lncRNA
GGUAGGGGUUAGACAGUAUAGAGACAGGUCAUUAAGGAGCAGGUAGGGGUUAGACAGUACAGAGACAGGUCAUUAAGGAGCAGGUAGGGGUUAGACAGUACAGAGACAGGUCAUUAAGGAACAGGUAGGGGUUAGACAGUACAGAGACAGGUCAUUAAGGAACAGGUAGGGGUUAGACAGUACAGAGACAGGUCAUUAAGGAGCAGGUAGGGGUUAGACAGUAGAGAGACAGGUCAUUAAGGAGCAGGUAGGGGUUAGACAGUACAGAGACGGGUCAUUAAGGAGCAGGUAGGGGUUAGACAGUACAGAGACGGGUCAUUAAGGAGCAGGUAGGGGUUAGACAGUACAGAGACGGGUCAUUAAGGAGCAGGUAGGGGUUAGACAGUACAGAGACAGGUCAUUAAGGAGCAGGUAGGGGUUAGACAGUACAGAGACAGGUCAUUGAGGAGCAGGUAGGGGUUAGACAGUACAGAGACAGGUCAUUAAGGAGCAGGUAGGGGUUAGACAGUACAGAGACGGGUCAUUAAGGAGCAGGUAGGGGUUAGACAGUACAGAGACGGG